GGCCACACUGGAACUGUGACACGGUCCAGACUCCUACGGGAGGCAGCAGUAGGGAAUCUUCCGCAAUGGGCGAAAGCCUGACGGAGCAACGCCGCGUGAGUGUUGAAGGUCUUCGGUUCGUAAAACUCUGUUAUUAGGGAAGAACAUAUGUGUAAGUAACUGUGCACAUCUUGACGGUACCUAAUCAGAAAGCCACGGCUAACUACGUGCCAGCAGCCGCGGUAAUACGUAGGUGGCAAGCGUUAUUCGGAAUUAUUGGGCGUAAAGCGCGCGUAGGCGGUUUUUUAAGUCUGUUGUGAAAGCCCACGGCUCAACCGUCGAGGGUCAUUGGAAACUGGAAAACUUGAGUGCAGAAGAGGAAAGUGGAAUUCCAUGUGUAGCGGUGAAAUGCGCACAGUUAUGGAGGAACACCAGUGGCGAAGGCGACUUUCUGGUCUGUAACUGACGCUGUUGUGCGAAAGCGUGGGGUUCAAACAGGUUUAGUUACCCUGGUAGUCCACGCCGUAAACGUUGAGUGCUAAGUGUUAGGGGGUUUCCGCCCCUUAGUGCUUCAGCUAACGCAUUAAGCACUCCGCCUGGGGAGUACGACCGCAAGGUUGAAACUCAAAGGAAUUGACGCGGACCCGCACAAGCGGUGGAGCAUGUGGUUUAAUUCGAAGCAACGCGAAGAACAUUACCAAAUCUUGACAUCCUUUGACAACUCUCGAGUUAGAGCCUUCCCCUUCGGGGGACAAAGUGACAGGUGGUGCAUGGUUGUCGUCAGCUCGUGUCGUGAGUUGU
rnacentral:rRNA from 1 species